rnacentral:rRNA from 1 species
CCUACGGGAGGCAGCAGUGGGGGAUAUUGCACAAUGGGGGCAACCCUGAUGCAGCGACGCCGCGUGAGCGAUGGAGUACUUCGGUAUGUAAAGCUCUGUCAGCAGGGAAGAGAAUGACGGUACCUGACCAAGAAGCCCCGGCUAACUACGUGCCAGCAGCCGCGGUAAUACGUAGGGGGCAAGCGUUAUCCGGAUUUACUGGGUGUAAAGGGUGCGUAGGUGGCAGGGCAAGUCAGAUGUGAAAGCCCGGGGCCCAACCCCGGUACUGCAUUUGAAACUGUCCGGCUGGAGUGCAGGAGAGGUAA